UCUUUCUUUGCUGGCGACCGGCGCACGGGUGAGUAACACGUAUCCAACCUGCCCUUUACUCGGGGAUAGCCUUUCGAAAGAAAGAUUAAUACCCGAUAGCAUAAUGAUUCCGCAUGGUUUCAUUAUUAAAGGAUUCCGGUAAAGGAUGGGGAUGCGUUCCAUUAGGUUGUUGGCGGGGUAACGGCCCACCAAGCCCUCGAUGGAUAGGGGUUCUGAGAGGAAGGUCCCCCACAUUGGAACUGAGACACGGUCCAA
rnacentral:rRNA from 1 species